AUUGAACGCUGGCGGCAGGCUUAACACAUGCAAGUCGAGCGAGCGGCGGACGGGUGAGUAAUGUCUGGGAAACUGCCUGAUGGAGGGGGAUAACUACUGGAAACGGUAGCUAAUACCGCAUACCAUCAGAUGUGCCCAGCUGGGAUUCGCUAGGAGGUGGGGUAAUGGCUCACAUAGGCGACGAUCCCUAGCUGGUCUGAAAGGAUGAAGGACCACACUGGAACUAAGACACGGUCCAGACUCCUACGGGAGGCAGCGGUGGGGAAUAUUGCACAAUGGGCGCAAGCCUGAUGCAGCCAUGCCGCGUGUGUGAAGAGGGCCUUCGGGUUGUAAAGCACUUUCAGCGAGGAGACGUUACUCGCAGAAAAAGCACCGGCUAACUCCGUGCCAGCAGCCGCGGUAAUUC
rnacentral:rRNA from 1 species